GGCGGUAGGCUUAACACAUGCAAGUCGUGCGAGAAAGUAUCUUCGGAUAUGAGUAGAGCAGCGGACGGGUGAGUAACGCGUAGGAAUCUACCUAGUAGAAGGGGAUAGCCCGGGGAAACCCGGAUUAAUACCGUAUACCUCCUUCGGGAGAAAGAAGGCCUCUCUUUGAAGCUUUCGCUACUAGAUGAGCCUGCGUAAGAUUAGCUUGUUGGUGAGGUAAAGGCUCACCAAGGCGACGAUCUUUAGCUGGUCUGAGAGGACGAUCAGCCACAUUGGGACUGAGACACGGCCCAGACUCCUACGGGAGGCAGCAGUGGGGAAUAUUGGACAAUGGGCGCAAGCCUGAUCCAGCCAUACCGCGUGUGUGAAGAAGGCCUUCGGGUUGUAAAGCACUUUAAGCAGGGAGAAAAAGUUAUAAGUUAAUACCUUAUAACCCUGAUGUUACCUGCAGAAUAAGCACCGGCUAAUUCCGUGCCAGCAGCCGCGGUAAUACGGAAGGUGCAAGCGUUAAUCGGAAUUACUGGGCGUAAAGCGCGCGUAGGUGGUUUGUUAAGUUGGAUGUGAAAGCCCUGGGCUCAACCUAGGA
rnacentral:rRNA from 1 species